GGAGGAUUAGCAUAAUUGGUAAUGCAGCAGUUUUGAAAACUGCCGUAAGAGAAAUCUUUUGCAGGUUCGAGUCCUGUGUCCUCCG
rnacentral:tRNA from 1 species